rnacentral:rRNA from 1 species
UACGUAGGGUGCAAGCGUUGUCCGGAAUUAUUGGGCGUAAAGAGCUCGUAGGCGGUCCGUCACGUCGGCUGUGAAAACUCGGGGCUCAACCCCGAGCCUGCAGUCGAUACGGGCGGACUAGAGUCCGGCAGGGGAGACUGGAAUUCCUGGCGUAGCGGUGAAAUGCGCAGAUAUCAGGAGGAACACCGGUGGCGAAGGCGGGUCUCUGGGCCGGAACUGACGCUGAGGAGCGAAAGCGUGGGGAGCGAACAGG